GUUAAAAAAAGCCUGCAGAAAUAAUCUGCAGGCCCUUUUUAGUUUCUGUAUAUUUAGAAACUAAAAAGGCAAAGGGAGAGGAGAAACCGGAGGAAGAACUUAUGGGGAAACGUAAGUCUUCUCCGUCU
rnacentral:ncRNA from 1 species